UAGGGAAUCUUCGGCAAUGGACGAAAGUCUGAUCGAGCAACGCCGCGUGAGUGAAGAAGGUUUUCGGAUCGUAAAACUCUGUUGUUAGAGAAGAAUAAGGACGUUAGUAACUGAACGUCCCCUGACGGUAUCUAACCAGAAAGCCACGGCUUACUACGUGCCAGCAGCCGCGGUAAUACGUAGGUGGCAAGCGUUGUCCGGAUUUAUUGGGCGUAAAGCGAGCGCAGGCGGUUGCAUAAGUCUGAUGUGAAAGCCCGCGGCUCAACCGGGGAGGGUCAUUGGAAACUGGGAGACUUGAGUGCAGAAGAGGAGAGUGGAAUUCCAUGUGUAGCGGUGAAAUGCGUAGAUAUACGGAGGAACACCAGUGGCGAAGGCGGCUCUCUGGUCUGAAACUGACGCUGAGGCUCGAAAGCGUGGGGAGCAAACAGG
rnacentral:rRNA from 1 species